AAUACGUUCCCGGGCCUUGUACACACCGCCCGUCAAGCCAUGGAAGCUGGGGGUACCUGAAGUCGGUGACCGUAAGGAGCUGCCUAGGGUAAACUGGUAACUAGGGCGU
rnacentral:rRNA from 1 species